GACGAACGCUGGCGGCGUGCUUAACACAUGCAAGUCGAACGGAAAGGCCCUGCUUUUGUGGGGUGCUCGAGUGGCGAACGGGUGAGUAACACGUGAGUAACCUGCCCUUGACUUUGGGAUAACUUCAGGAAACUGGGGCUAAUACCGGAUCGGAGCUCCUGCUGCAUGGUGGGGGUUGGAAAGUCUCGGCGGUUGGGGAUGGACUCGCGGCUUAUCAGCUUGUUGGUGGGGUAGUGGCUUACCAAGGCUUUGACGGGUAGCCGGCCUGAGAGGGUGACCGGGCACAUUGGGACUGAGAGACGGCCCAGACUCCUACGGGAGGCAACAGUGGGGAAUAUUGCACAAUGGGCGGGAGCCUGAUGCAGCAACGCCGCGUGCGGGAUGACGGCCUUCGGGGUGUAAACCGCUUUCGCCUGUGACGAAGCGUGAGUGACGGUAAUGAGUAAAGAAGCACCGGCUAACUACGUG
rnacentral:rRNA from 1 species